GAUGAACGCUGGCGGCGUGCCUAAUACAUGCAAGUCGAGCGAAUGGAUUAAGAGCUUGCUCUUAUGGAGUUAGCGGCGGACGGGUGAGUAACACGUGAGUAACCUGCCCAUAAGACUGGGAUAACUCCGGGAAACCGGGGCUAAUACCGGAUAACAUUUUGAACCGCAUGGUUCGAAAUUGAAAGGCGGCUUCGGCUGUCACUUAUGGAUGGACCCGCGUCGCAUUAACUAGUUGGUGAGGUAACGGCUCACCAAGGCAACGAUGCGUAGCCGACCUGAGAGGGUGAUCGGCCACACUGGGACUGAGACACGGCCCAGACUCCUACGGGAGGCAGCAGUAGGGAAUCUUCCGCAAUGGACGAAAGUCUGACGGAGCAACGCCGCGUGAGUGAUGAAGGCUUUCGGGUCGUAAAACUCUGUUGUUAGGGAAGAACAAGUGCUAGUUGAAUAAGCUGGCACCUUGACGGUGCCUAACCAGAAAGCCACGGCUAACUACGUGCCAGCCGCCGCUGUAA
rnacentral:rRNA from 1 species